AUUGAACGCUGGCGGCAUGCCUUACACUUGCAAGUCGAACGGCAGCACGGGUGCUUGCACCUGGUGGCGAGUGGCGAACGGGUGAGUAAUACAUCGGAACAUGUCCUGUAGUGGGGGAUAGCCCGGCGAAAGCCGGAUUAAUACCGCAUACGAUCCACGGAUGAAAGCGGGGGACCUUCGGGCCUCGCGCUAUAGGGUUGGCCGAUGGCUGAUUAGCUAGUUGGUGGGGUAAAGGCCUACCAAGGCGACGAUCAGUAGCUGGUCUGAGAGGACGACCAGCCACACUGGGACUGAGACACGGCCCAGACUCCUACGGGAGGCAGCAGUGGGGAAUUUUGGACAAUGGGCGAAAGCCUGAUCCAGCAAUGCCGCGUGUGUGAAGAAGGCCUUCGGGUUGUAAAGCACUUUUGUCCGGAAAGAAAUCCUUGGCUCUAAUACAGUCGGGGGAUGACGGUACCGGAAGAAUAAGCACCGGCUAACUACGUG
rnacentral:rRNA from 1 species